rnacentral:lncRNA from 1 species
AUUAUUAUGAAAAUCAAAAUCAACCUCCCAGGGCUUUAAAACCAUCGGCUUAUUUCUAUAGGUGUAAGGCCCUGAUUGCAACACCAGAUCUCUAUCCUCAGUGCUAUUAAAACGAAAAAUACAGUAGCCUUCAGCAUGCAUUAAAACUUGAGGUUUAGCAACAAAGUUCCAUACAUACAUGACAAAGCUUUCCAUAUUCCUCUCACUGGGAUUAUCACCU